AGGGUGGAAAUAACACUAAACGCGUGGGGGAUAAAGAGGCAAUUGAGGAAGGUGAACGGUGUCAAGUAAUUGAGCAGUUUAUCCACAGACUUGAGAGUAGAGAGACAGUGAUCAGUGCAGUAUUCUCCAGGAUCAUGUUCAACAGUGCCUUCUUUAACUCUCAUAUGACUUGUGAUUUGAGGGUCAAAUGCUGAGCUGGGUUUGAAAAGUAAAACUUGAAUUCAAUCCAGAUUGUUUAGAAAUGUCAUUACUAAGGUUGAUUCAGGCAUUUUUAGACCUCUUAAGACCCCCCUGCACUGAUGGGUUAUCAGUGUCUCACCUGCCUCCACACUGAAUCAAGUGUAUGGGGUAUUGCACCAUGUUCGAUGAUUUUGCCAGUGCAACAUGCUGGAACUGGAAACACAGGAGCUGACUGAUCGCCUGUCAUGUGCUGCUGACCUUUCAAAGUGCAAUCUAAAUCCAUGGAUGUCUCAGCUCCAAGAGGAGCAACUGUCAUUCUUGGCCGUGGCUCUUCCUGUACAGCGAAUGUGAGCCGAGCCCUCCUCCAUAUCCCCCGUAUUAAAACCUCACAAUAUGCCCAACAACUGCACAGCGGAGGAGAGGGAAUGCACGGUAUGUGCUUACAGCAUCACAACUCCUCUCUCCUCUCACAUGGACUAAUAUGGCCAAGCCAAGAGGGGAUGGGACAAUAAACGCAUGUAGCACAUUGCUUCUGUAAGCACACUGUGUGUGGUUUUUUUAUUUUAUUUUGAAAGGCCAAAAUAACUUUCAAUAUGCAGAUCAGAUUAUUUGCUGUGCUUUGUUUGUGGAACUAUGACUAAUAGCAUGUUUAUUUAUGUGCAGCAAUCCUAUCUUUGUUUGUCUCUUAAUAAUCUUAAAUGUUAUGGCAUUCAGUGUAACACAAGAAAUACAAACAAAUCUAAUGCUCUAUAUAUAGUCUGUCUUGCAGCAGGUGCUUGGCACUCCCACCAGAGGGCAAUGGUCAGCUGCAGUGGAACUUCACUUGUGCAUUUAUGUACUGUCGCUUUGUACAACUGAACCAUCAAAGUACCACUGUUAAUGCAUUCCACUUUUAUAUUGUGUAUAAUUACUUUAUAUAGCCAGCGAGUGGAAACAGAAAUGUGGGGAUUUUUUAUGCAAUCAUUUGACACUUUUAUUAAGCGCUACUAAGACUUUUUUGUUGUUGUAAGAAAGUGUUUUUGAUGACACAUACAAGGUAAUUUGAAAACUGAUUAUUUUCAUUAUAAAUUAAAAUCUUGGCAUAUGUAUUCAUACAA